AUAAAAAACAAAACAAUUUAUUUUUGUAGAUAGAUAGACCCAAAUCUGUCUUUUAGAUUGCAUAUAUAGCGUAGGAGCAUUACUUCAGCACAAUACAAAGCAUAGAUUUUUCUUGAUUUCAAUUACAACUUCUGAAUUCUUUAAUCUCUGGACCACAAUUCUUAUUAACGCUCUUUCUUUGUCUCUGUCAAAUUGCUUUUUGUUCAUCUCUAUGCCGCAAAGAUCAAAGCAAUGCCCUUCUAAAGUUUAAGAAUAUGCUUACUGUUGAUCCCUCAUAUAAUAUUUGUCCAGAAUCUUAUCCAAAGACGAGUUCAUGAAAAAUGAGCAGAGAUUGUUGUGUAUGGGAUGGAGUAAUAUGUGAUGAGUUCACAAACCAUGUGAUUGAGCUUGACCUCAGUUGCAGCCAUCUUGUUGGGACGAUUGAUUCCAAUAGCACCCUCUUCCAUCUCUCUCAUCUCCAGGCUUAACCUUUCUUGAAAUUAUUUGCACAAUUCUCGCAUCUCACCUAAAUUUGACAGGUUUUCGAGCUUGACACAUCUUGAUCUUUCUCACUCAUAUUUUUCAGGUCAAGUUUCUUCUGAAAUCUCUCAUCUUUCCAAAUUACUAUUUCUUCGUCUCACUGAUGUUGAUCUAAGACUCGCAGCUCAUGAUUUUAUAUUGUUCCUCCAGAAUUUGACUCAAUUAAGAGAGCUUGAUCUUAGAAAUGUGAACAUCUCUUCCACCAUUCCUCUGAAUUUAUCUUCUCAUAUAACAACUCUGAGGCUUGAUAACACAAGAUUGCAUGGGAUAUUACCUGAGAGUAUUUUUCACUUUCAAAACUUGAGAAUUCUUACCUUACAUGCCAAUGAUCAACUCAUUAAUUAUUUCCAAAUAUCAAAUGGAACAGCAAUGCAUCAGUCAUGAAGUUGGAUUUCUCUAGUGAAAUUUUCUGGACAAUCAUCUGCAAGGCCAACAGCCGCUAGCUCGUGAGAAUUUAUGGGUUUAAGUCUCGAAAAGUGAACAAUGAAAAAGAUAAAAAAUGGAGCAAGAGAGAAUCCAUCGCUUUUAUAUUCAAAGAGCUAUAAUUUGUCGAUUGCAACAACAAAGCGAUGUUAUGGGGAGAAGAUCUUUUUAAGAAGUUUAAAAAGUCUAUAGGCAGAUUUGUGGAAUGAGAGCAUAUGAGUGACAAACUAAGACAGAUGUUGAUCAAGCUAAGGUGCGGUUGAAGACCAUGGAAAGAGAGAAAGGGGAAGACUAUACAGCUUUGGACUCAAACAAGAUUGUGUCAAACAAAAAUUGUGUAUUAUUACUAUAUUGAAAUUGAAAAAUACAACUAUCAGUACCUUUUUUGUUUAGAUCAAGUACAAUUAUUUGUAACUUGAAACGUGUUUUGGAGUAAAAAAAAAAGAAUUUGUUUAUAAAAUUCUUGUCACCAACAAUGCUUGUGGAAAACUUAAU